rnacentral:rRNA from 1 species
UACGGAGGAUGCGAGCGUUAUCCGGAUUUAUUGGGUUUAAAGGGUGCGUAGGCGGAAUAUCAAGUCAGCGGUAAAAAUUCGGGGCUCAACCCCGUCGUGCCGUUGAAACUGAUGUUCUUGAGUGGGCGAGAAGUAUGCGGAAUGCGUGGUGUAGUGGUGAAAUGCAUAGAUAUCACGCAGAACUCCGAUUGCGAAGGCAGCAUACCGGCGCCCUACUGACGCUGAGGCACGAAAGCGUGGGUAUCGAACAGG